rnacentral:tRNA from 1 species
GCAUCUGUAGUCUAAUGGAUAUAACGUACCCCUCCGGAGGGUAAGAUAUGGGUUCGAUUCCCGUCAGAUGCA